UGAGGAAUAUUGGUCAAUGGGCGGGAGCCUGAACCAGCCAAGCCGCGUGAGGGAGGAAGGCCCUAUGGGUCGUAAACCUCUUUUGUCAGGGAACAAAAGGCGAGUAUGUAUACUAGUCUGAGUGUACCUGAAGAAAAAGCAUCGGCUAACUCCGUGCCAGCAGCCGCGGUAAUACGGAGGAUGCGAGCGUUAUCCGGAUUUAUUGGGUUUAAAGGGUGCGUAGGCGGCGGUGCAAGUCAGCGGUAAAAUGCCCGGGGCUCAACCCCGGCGAGCCGUUGAAACUGCAGUGCUAGAGAAGGCGAGAGGUACGCGGAAUGCGCAGUGUAGCGGUGAAAUGCUUAGAUAUUGCGCAGAACUCCGAUUGCGAAGGCAGCGUACUGGCGCCUGACUGACGCUGAGGCACGAAAGCGUGGGGAUCGAACAGGAUUAGAUACCC
rnacentral:rRNA from 1 species